rnacentral:lncRNA from 1 species
AGACUAGAGGGAGAGAAAAGUUUGGUUAUUUUGGGAAUAACUUCCCACAUAUAUAAAUAACAAUGAAGUGUUGAGGGAGGAAGAAGGAAGGAGGGAGGAAAAAGGAAGCCGAUCGUGAUGGAAGCCCGUUGCUGUGCUGCUACUACCGUCCACAACUAUAUGCAAGGCUGAUCUCCUCUCUAAGGCCGGAUGCAGCCCUGACAAAGGGAUACGGGUUUUAUAUUUUAUUUUAUAUUCUUGGGGUUGUAUGAACUUAUUGUUUUCAAUGGAUAUCUUCUUUUGAAUCAUAUUUAAUUUCUGUGAUUUUAAGUAUGAUGUUCGUACAACUGUUCUUCAUGAUCACUAAGUUAAUAGAAGAUCACCCAUGCUUAGGAAAUAUGCAGUAUUCUGCCACAUUAGUUUAGGGUAGACAUUUCAUGCCAACCGAAGAUGGAUGUUCCUAAAUUACUUUUGUGAAAUUUUUAUUUAAAUGCUUAUUAGGCUUGUAGUCAAUUUGCAUGUUAAUCCAAGAAUAAAUUAAAAUAUAAUUAACCCUUGUUCUGAUGUUAUUGGUGAAUUCCUUGCCCUAGGUUCCCUCAAACUGAUAUCAUUUUAAUUGCAUUUUCUUUAUUAAAUUCCUUAGUUUAAUUUUCUUCACAAACUCUUUCUUUUACAUAUUUUUAUUUUUAAGAAAACAACUAUACCCCAAUUCCUGUGGAUC